UACGUAGGGCGCAAGCGUUGUCCGGAAUUAUUGGGCGUAAAGAGCUUGUAGGCGGUUUGUCGCGUCUGCUGUGAAAUUUCGGGGCUCAACCCCGAACUUGCAGUGGGUACGGGCAGACUAGAGUGUGGUAGGGGAGACUGGAAUUCCUGGUGUAGCGGUGAAAUGCGCAGAUAUCAGGAGGAACACCGGUGGCGAAGGCGGAUCUCUGGGCCUGUUCUGACGCUGAGGUGCGAAAGCUAGGGGAGCGAACAGG
rnacentral:rRNA from 1 species